rnacentral:rRNA from 1 species
UACGGGGGGGGGCAAGCGUUGUUCGGAUUUACUGGGCGUAAAGGGCGCGUAGGCGGCGUGACAAGUCACUUGUGAAAUCUCCGGGCUUAACUCGGAACGGUCAAGUGAUACUGUCGUGCUAGAGUACAGAAGGGGCAACUGGAAUUCUCGGUGUAGCGGUGAAAUGCGUAGAUAUCGAGAGGAACACCUGCGGCGAAGGCGGGUUGCUGGGCUGAUACUGACGCUGAGGCGCGAAAGCUAGGGGAGCGAACGGG